rnacentral:rRNA from 1 species
UGGGGAAUAUUGGACAAAUGGGCGCAAGCCUGAUCCAGCAAUGCCGCGUGUGUGAAGAAGGCCUUCGGGUUGUAAAGCACUUUUAUCAGGAGCGAAACGCUGUCGGCUAAUACCCGGCGGAACUGACGGUACCUGAGGAAUAAGCACCGGCUAACUUCGUGCCAGCAGCCGCGGUAAUACGAAGGGUGCAAGCGUUAAUCGGAAUUACUGGGCGUAAAAGCGUGCGUAGGCGGUUUCUUAAGUCUGCUGUGAAAUCCCCGGGCUCAACCUGGGAAUGGCAGUGGAUACUGGGAGGCUAGAGUGUGUCAGAGGGUGGUGGAAAUUCCCGGUGUAGCGGUGAAAUGCGUAGAGAUCGGGAGGAACAUCAGUGGCGAAGGCGGCCACCUGGGACAACACUGACGCUGAGGCACGAAAGCGUGGGGAGCAAACAGGAUUAGAUACCCUGGUAGUCCACGCCCUAAAACGAUGCGAACUGGAUGUUGGUCUCAACUCGGAGAUCAGUGUCGAAGCUAACGCGUUAAGUUCAGCC